CCCUUAGACGUUCUGGGCCGCACGCGCGCUACACUGACCAGUGCAACAAGCAUCCGUCCUUGGCCGACAGGCUCGGGCAAUCUUUGAACGCUGGUCGUGAUGGGGAUAGACUUUUGCAAUUUUUGGUCUUCAACGAGGAAUUCCUAGUAAACGCAAGUCAUCAACUUGCAUUGAUUACGUCCCUGCCCUUUGUACACACCGCCCGUCGCACCUACCGAUUGAAUGGUCCGGUGAAGCCUCCUGAUUGGCGCGCACCUCGGUGCCGCCGAGAAGUUGGCUAAACCUUACCAUUUAGAGGAAGGUGAAGUCGUAACA
rnacentral:rRNA from 1 species